UAUAUAUAUUGGUAAAGGAUGGAUUCAGUUGUUAAUUAUUCAAUUUUUUUUGAUACACUUCAUCUUGAAUUUGAAUUCUAUCGAUUGUUAUUAGAGUUUUUUUAUAAGAGAGUGACACGUAAUUUGUAAAUAUCAAAUAAUUUGUAAGCUCUCUCUAAUCCUAAGAAGGAAUGCAUUUUACUAAUUUUUUUUAUAAAAAAAAGAAAAAAAAAAACUCGCAAGUCACAACCCUUUUCACCCUUUACCUAAAUCUAUAAUUAUGCACAAGAAAAACAAUUCCAAGUUAGACUUUGUUAUUGCUCCAUUUAUGCUUUGUCAGCUCUGAUUUUCCAUAGGUUGUGUUUGGCUGAGCCGGUGGGCUGCAGCGCAUCCAAUAACGUGCCUGUGGCAAGUAAUUAAGUGGUCAUUGGUCAAGCCAGCUGCUUGCAUGAAUGAGUGAACCACGGUUGGACCCGCGAACCUAAACCCCCUUCUCACCAUGUCUUUGCUAAUACUCUCUGAUUUUGAAGUCUUGACUGGAAUCUUGUGUCCAAAUUUGUACUGGGUUGGGAUUGGCUUGUUGUUCACAAAUGCCCAUAUGUAUUUCUCAAAGGAUCCAAACUCCUUUCUUAUCUCAAGAAUUCUGUUAGAGUUGUCAACAACUCCUCGAACCCUGCUUAUAUCAAUUCCAUAUUCUAUACUGAUUGACGUCAUUUGUUUUUCAGAAAUAUUGGACACAGUUUCUGCAUCAAACCCUGAAAACGCAUCUCGGAAGUCUUGACGUUUCUUCAAGAUUGAAGUCCAAUCUGAACCCACCUGAGCACUACUCAGGACUAGCAAUUCAAACAACAACUUAUCAUCAUGGACAGGAACUCCCCAUUCUUGAUCAUGGUAAGCAACAUAGAUGGGAUCAGAAUUUGGUGUGAUAAAACUGCAUCUCUUCUCCUCUUCAUCAGGCUUAGUGGUUGAAGAAUCUAUAGGAACAACGUUGGAUUCAAACUUGGCAGACUUUGAUCUUCCAUAAUGAGCAAUUCUCAUCUUUCUUUGUGCAUGUUGAAGAGCCAUUUGUUCUCUUCUCACCGCAGCAAUACUUCCUGGUGCCUCAACGAUUAACAAAGAAGAAUAACUUAAUGAUGCUUCUGCAGAUGAAGAAGAAGAAAGUAUUCCAAUCCCAACACUGCUUUCUUUAAAACUUUUAGAUUUCUUCCUCUCUAAGCCUGGAGCUUUUGGGGUGUUUCUUGGAAUCACAACCUUCUCAGAACUUGAAUUCAAGCCGUUAGGAUCAAUUCCUCUCUUGAUAGCUGUUGGUCUCGGUGAUUUAGACUUUGGAGAUAUAGGAGCAAUACUAGGAAAAGUUGACGGUGGUGGUGGUGGUGGAGGAGGA
rnacentral:misc_RNA from 1 species